rnacentral:tRNA from 1 species
GGUAAGAUAAGCUAACUCUAAGCUAGUGGGCCCAUAACCCAAAAAUGAUCACACUCUCUCGCCA